rnacentral:rRNA from 1 species
AGGAUUAACGCUGGCGGCGUGCCUAACACAUGCAAGUCGAACGAGGUAGCAAUACCUAGUGGCAGACGGGUGAGUAACGCGUGGUCAACCUACCGUUGAGUGGGGGAUAACUAGCCGAAAGGUUAGCUAAUACCGCAUACGAGUCUCGGGGGCAUCCCUGGGCCUUAAAAGGAGCAAUCCGCUCGAUGACGGGACCGCGUCCCAUUAGCUAGAUGGUGGGGUAAUGGCCUACCAUGGCUCCGAUGGGUAGCUGGUUUGAGAGAGCGACCAGCCACACUGGGACUGAGAAACGGCCCAGACUCCUACGGGAGGCAGCAGUGAGGAAUUUUCCGCAAUGGGCGAAAGCCUGACGGAGCGACGCCGCGUGUGGGAAGAAGGCCUUCGGGUCGUAAACCACUGUCGAAGGGGACGAUAAUGACGGUACCCUUGGAGGAAGCCCGGCUACUACGCGCCAGCAGCCGC